rnacentral:tRNA from 3 species
GCCCAUGUAGCUCAGACGGUAAGAGCACGUCCUUGGUAAGGACGAGGUCACCGGUUCAAUUCCGGUCGUGGGCU